rnacentral:snRNA from 1 species
AUACCUUUCUCGGCCUUUUGGCUAAGAUCAAGUGUAGUAUCUGUUCUUAUCAGUUUAAUAUCUGAUACGUGGGCCAUAGGUCCACAUGAUAUUAAAUUAAUUUUUCUUUUGGGGGAGGUCCCACCACAAUAGCUUGCUAUUGGGGUCCUCAUGUGUCGCCCAUGCGUUGCACUACUGCAAGGGCCUGGCUCACCCCAC